AGAAUCAACGCUGGCGGCGUGCCUAACACAUGCAAGUCGAACGAGAAAGUGGAGCAAUCCAUGAGUAAAGUGGCGACCGGGUGAGUAACACGUGACUAACCUACCUUUUAGUGGGGAAUAACCUCGGGAAACCAGGGCUAAUACCGCAUAAUGUCUUCGGACCAAAGGAGCAAUUCGCUGAAAGAGGGGGUCGCGGCCGAUUAGCUAGUUGGCGGGGUAACGGCCCACCAAGGCAAUGAUCGGUAGCCGGCCUGAGAGGGCGCACGGCCACACUGGAACUGAAACACGGUCCAGACUCCUACGGGAGGCAGCAGUGGGGAAUUUUGCGCAAUGGGGGAAACCCUGACGCAGCAACGCCGCGUGGAGGAUGAAGCCCCUUGGGGUGUAAACUCCUUUCGAUCGGGACGAUUAUGACGGUACCGGAUGAAGAAGCACCGGCUAACUCUGUGCCAGCAGCCGC
rnacentral:rRNA from 1 species